rnacentral:rRNA from 1 species
GACGUAGGAUGCAAGCGUUGUCCGGAUUUAUUGGGCGUAAAGAGUUCGUAGGUGGUUCGUUAAGUCUGGUGUAAAAGACUGGGGCUCAACCCUGGGAUCGCACUGGAUACUGGCGGACUGGAGUGUAGUAGAGGCAAGCGGAAUUCCCAGUGUAGCGGUGAAAUGCGUAGAUAUUGGGAAGAACACCGGUGGCGCAAGCGGCUUGCUGGGCUAUAACUGACGCUGAGGAACGAAAGCUAGGGGAGCAAAUGGG